rnacentral:misc_RNA from 1 species
CUAACGCGUGAAGUUGACCGCCUGGGGAGUACGGUCGCAAGAUUAAAACUCAAAGGAAUUGACGGGGACCCGCACAAGCGGUGGAUGAUGUGGAUUAGCUUCGAGAGAUCGGUGAUUGCGUAAGGCAUUGCCUAGACGAGUAGUAACUCGGCUGUUCUUUAACUAUAUGGAUUGUAGUAAAGGUGUCGCGGCGCGUUGAUGACGCGCGCAAUUUAAACGGGACACUGCGUUGUGAUUGUAUCAACCAGUAUUACGAGUGAUC